GGACUUUUUAGACUAGUAUAUCCUGUAUAUUAGUGCACACAUACUUGCAUCACAGUGUCAGAGAGUUUGCUGCCAUCUGGAACAUCUGUCACUCAGAAAUUAUACAUGACAAAACAUUAAAAUACAGUCAAAUGAGCCAGGCAUGGUAUAGGGGUGCGUGCCUGUUAGUCCCAACUACUCAGGAGGGUAGGCAGUAGGAUUGCUUGAGUCUGGGAGUUUGAGACCAGGCUGGGCAACAUAGCAAGACACUGUCUCUAAAAAUAAAAAAUAAUCAUAUAGCCACAUAGCCACAUACUAACACAUAACUUGAUAACUGAUGAAAGGAAUUUAAGCAAAUCAGCUCCAUCUUAUCAGGAGCUGAUUUUUGGAGUGUAAAAGCAGAACUUCUGUUGCAUGAACCAGUAAUCAAUGUGGACUUUUAAAGAUAUCAGAAAACCCCAACAGGUUUACUUCAAAAUGUUCAAAACUUGUUCCCCUCUUAUGCUGGAAAGAAAGAGUUCUAAACUGUGAAAAUAACACACAUUCCUAAAUAUAUUAUUUCUUGAAGAUUUGUUGAAGAAGUGACCACAACUUAGUAUCUAAAAGAGAAGUGCAUUACUUAGUGCUUUUCAGGCCAAUGGUGUGAAAGAAGGAAAAAUUAUCUCUUGUCCUGGUUAAACAGACCCUAUACACCAGAGGUGGGGCUUUCUCAGCAUCUCUAUUUCUCAUCCCCAUGACAACGAAUCUCAGAUUUGUCUCUAUGGCAGAUAUCACAUAAUAGAGUGUUAUGUACUCAUUCAUGCAAAGCCUGUACAAUCAUUGCCUCUUGGACUAAAUAAUUUGCUUUUUAUUUACAGGUUUAUAAGUGGAAAUAGCCUGCCUUGAAUCUCAGAUGAGACUUCAGACCUUUGGACUUUUGAGUUGGUUCUGGAACAAGUUAGGACUUUUGGAGACUAUUGGUAUGGAAUUUUGGAUUGAGUUUGGAGGAAGGGAACCCAUAAUCCUGGCAUGCCAGCAAAAAGGAACUCAGAGAUGCACUACCUUGAGGAUUUCUCUAGCAACUGCAGCAUAUGAGGACUCUGCAAAUGGAACAUCUUGGAAAAUGCCUUAACUAAACAGAGAAUCAAAAAUCAUCAAGGAAUGGGAAGAGCUGGAAGACACACACACACAAUAGGCAGUUCUAGUUAAUGGCCUGGCCUCCAGUCCCGCUAUUUUAUUGGUACCCUAUUCAUUAAAGUUCUCACAAACUGAAAGCAAAAACAAGGCUGGUGGAAAGUACAGGUGCCUCUUUCAGAAGUUAUUUUAAUAUCAUUUUUUAAACUUUUAAAAAAUUCUUAGGAUAUUUUUAUAUCACCCAGAAUUCUAAUAAUUAAAGAUGCACUGAGAUUUACAAAUACAUUCUCUAAGUAUGCAUGAACAUCUUUUGAGAUUAGGUUUCCAUCCGUGACAAGCCUGACUGUGCCACUUAGAAGCUGUAUGACAUUGAAUAAGUUACUUUCUCAGUGCCUUGGUUUCCUCAUCUAUAAAGACAAUGACUUAAUAUCUGUUGUAUACAGUAGUUGAGACAAUUAAAUAAAUCAAGACCCGUAAGGUGCUGAAAACAGCAUCUGGGACAUAGUAAGUGUUAGAUGAAUGAUUAUGAUUAUUAAUACUCUUUUUAUUUUUGUCAUUGGGAGAAGCAACAGUUAACCCACACUGCCAUCCAAAAAGUCUAUUGGGUGACUUUUCUUCUGCACAACAACUUGUUGUAGACUUGACACAAACUGAAAAAUAUUAAGAGUAAUCUUUGUAAUUUGACAUAUGGUAAAGGAAUUAAUGUUUCAAGUAUUUAGUAGAAUAAUUUAGUGAGGCCUAAUAAGGGGUGAUUGGGUGAUGAGGGCUCCUCACUUAUGAAUAAAUGAAAGUUAUUACUCCCUUGCCCUUUUCUGCUUCUGCUCUUUCCCCUCAACAUGUGUCAGCUGUUUUAAUUAUUGUUAGAAUUAUCCCUUAAAUAAACCAUAUGUUUUAUUGCUACUAGAGUCUCAUCCUCCAAAAAAGAAAAGGAAAACAAAAACUUUUCUUAUGAGCCCUUAUAUAGAAGACGUUAAAAUGAUGUAGUGCAAUAUUUGCAAACCUGCUUAUGUGUUAAAACAUUCUGAGGAUUAAAAUAUGUACACAGUGUGUGUAUAUACAUAUAUAUUUAUAUAUGUAUAUGUUUUUACCCUGCUUCUACUGUUUUCUAUUUAGAAGACCUUGAGACCGUAUGCAGUCUAUAAAUCUGCAUUCUAAAACAGGUCUCCCAAUUCUAUGUGUUAUUGUUCAGCUUUUUUGAGUCAUAAUUUAGAAACAAUAAAAUUCACCAACUUUAAGUGGACAAUUUUAUGAGAAGAUAAAACAUAUGUUUGUGGUAACUAGCACCAAAAUUAUCAUAUGGACCAUUUCCAACACUCCAAAAGCAUGUGUUCCUUUGUAAUCAAUCCCCUUUUCAGACAUCCAGCCCCACCUGACUUAGGACUCAUGCAUGUCCUCCUUGUUUACUUAUGACAAGGCCAAACACAGAUGCUCCAAAGUCCAAAUUUGCCUCAGAAAUGAUUAGCUGAACUGCUUAUCACCACUGAUAAAUGAGAAGUCCAUGCAUAUUUACCAACUUUUGUGUAAUUUGGUCAUUUUUCUCUUUUUUCUCCAGGCCAAAUCAGCAUAGAAUCCCUCCUUAAGAGCCCCUACCAAGAAUAUAUUGAAGUCAGGAUAAAAUAUUCCUCCUACAUCCGCACGCUGGGUUCUCCCUAGCCCUGUUUCUACCCCCUCAUAAACCAUUAACUAAAUUCUUCAUCCUCACUGAUCCCUAAGAACAAAGUGCUUGUUAACCAACUUGACCUAACUUUAGUUAACCUUCUUUUCUUUCUACAGGACCCUGAAAUGUGACCCACCUCAGCCAGAGCCAACAAUGACCUGCAGAAAGAGCCUCCUUACUGCAAACAAAAGACACUGCAUAAACCAUGCUUACUCUUCACUGUAUAAGAACAGGUCUUUCCUUCCUGACCUUUUAGAUGUUUGAUCCUAUGGUCUGAGUUCUCCCUAUUGUAACUGUCUCCCUCUUCCUGUUGCAGAAGGCUUUUUCUCCCCUCUUACAACACUGUUUUAAAUAAAAUGUCUCCUUACCUAAAUCUGGAGUUGUUUUUAUUUAAAAAUACUUGGUGUAGUUUUGUUAUAAGUUAAACUGACCUUUGGUAUAGCUUUGUUAUAAGUUAAAUUGACUUAACCUGGAAAUCUGAAUAUCAAUAUAUUUACUCAUUCAUUUAUUUAUUAAGUCUUGACUGAGAACUUACUGUGGGGACUUUGUAAGGUGUCACAAGACUGAACAACACUUCCUGAUAUUCUCUUCCCUGUACACUUCCAGUUAGAGUGGGCCACAAGAGAGAUUUUCAUGGGAGAUUUGGAGGGCAAAAUUGAAGAAGAAGCCAUUUUUUUCAUAACUCACCUCCUGACACAAAUCAGUGACUGGGCUGGCAAGUGCUUGCUUCACUGUCCCCAGGAAUCUCUUUCAGCUUCUCUGUCAUCUGGGACAAGUGUAUGUUCAGCCUCAUAAUGAAGGGACAUGAGAAGACACCCAUACUACUAAGGCCGGAGUCACAAGAACUGAUUCAGUUGGUCUCUGUGAGCUCCAGCUUGUGCUGUGGGUUGCUUCAGCUUGUGCUGUGGGUUGCUUCAGCUUGUUCUUGCUCUCUCCCACUUUAAAUUCAUUUUCUCUUCCUAUCUGCCUUCCUUGUAUACUUCAAUCUGUUAUCAGAUUGGGAGAAACAGCCUUAUAGAAACCACUUAACCAGCAGACACAACUGCAUGGGAUCACCCUGCUAUAACACAUCUCCUAUUUCUGCUUCUCUGUUUGGACCCUGACUGAUACACUUACACUCAUUAACUCUGAGAGUAACUCUGAGCUUUGAAUAAACUACGAUAGCCGUGUUUCCUGUUCUCUAAGAACCCAUGAUCUGAAAAGGGAAAUAAAGCAUACACAUAACUAAAAGGUAUUACAUAGAAAGAACGAAAUUAUUUUUCAAUAGACUUCACGAUAUUUUGAAGCAACUUUUUUGAUGUAGAGCAUUUUCAUGUCAUCGAAAAUAUGUCACAAUUCUUAUUAUCAAGUGAUACUUAAAACUGAUGCUGUCACUCUAUCCCCUAUUCCCACUUCUUCUUGAAUCUUGCCUUAUCUCUAAAUCUAAUGUGUAUAUUGUGUACUAAGUAAUAUAGGGUGUCAUAUCCACAUUUUGUUUUAUUGUAUCAAAUUGAAGUUAUAGUAACAAUUGGAUCAUAACAUACUGACUAAAAUGGUGAACAGGGUUUUUUAGACAUGGAUCAUACAUACUGGAUCAUAACAAUUGGAUAAUACUGACUAAAACUGUGAAUGGUGAGACUAGGUUGGCUCUUGCCUGUAAUUCUAGCACUUUGGGAGACUGAGUCAGGAGGAUCACCUGGGCCCAGGAGUUGAGACUAGCCCUGGCAACAUAGCAAGACUCUGUCUCCACAAGAAAAAAAAAUUAGCCAGGCUACUCAGGACGCUGAGGUGAGAGGAUUGUUUGAUCCUGGGAGGUUGAGGUUGCAGUGAGCUGUGGUCAUGCCAUUCCACUCCAAUCUGGACAAUAGAGUGAGAUCCUGUCUCAAAUACAUAAAAAUGGUGGGCAAAUGACCAUAAGUGUCUAUCUAAGCUCUGUGAGAUUUCACAAGAGGGAGAUAUUACUUCUAAGUUGAGGCCCAUAGGGUUUUUAAAAGAAGUUGCACCCAAACUGGUCAUUGGAAAAAGGUUGGUGUUAGAGAAUAAGACAGUUGCUACAUUCUUGGGAAGCACUGGUGAUAUGGUCUGACUAUGUCUUCUCCCAAAUGUCAUCUUGAAUUAUAGCUCCCAUAAUUCUCAUGUGUUGUGGGAGGGACCCGGUGGGAGAUAAUUAAAUCAGGAGCAGUUCCCCCAUACUGGCCUUGUAGUAGUAAAUAAGUUUCAUGAGAUCUGAUGGUUUUUUAAGGGGAAACCCCUUUCAUUUGGCUGUCUCAUUCUUUCUUAUCUGCCACCAUGUUAGACAUGCCUUUUCCUUUCUGCCAUGAUUGUGAGGCCUACCCAGCCACAUGGGUAAGUCCAUUACACCAUUACACCUCUUUUUUAAAAUAAAUUACCCAGUCUCAGAUAUGUCUUUAUCAGCAGCAUAAGAACAGACUACUACAGUAAAUUGCUACCAGGAGUGAGGUGCUGCUGGGAAGAAAUCUGAAAAUAUGAAAGCAACUUUGGAAUUGGGUAACAGGCAGAGAAUGGAACAAUUUGGAGGGCUCAGAACACAGAAAAAUGUGGGAAAGUUUGGAACUUCCUAGAGACUUUUUAAAUGGCUUUAACCAAAAUGCUGGUAAUAAUAUUGACAAUGAAAUCCAGGCUGAGGUGGUCUCAGAUGGAGAUGAGAAACCUGUUGGGAACUGACAUAAAGAUGACUCCUGCUAUGUUUUAGCAAAGAAACUGGUGGGAUUUUGCUGCUGCCCUAGAGAUUUGUGGAACUUUCAAUCUGAGGGACAUGAUUUAGGGUAUCCGAAGGAAGAAAUUUCUAAGCACCAAAGCAUUCAAGAGGUGACUUGGGUGCUGUUAAAAGCAUGAAGUUUUAAAAGGGAAAUGGAGCACAAAAGUUUGGAAAAUAUGCAGCCUGACUGCAAUUAGGAUCAGGAAAGCAGAAAGUAGCAAAGAAAUCAAUGAAUGCAAUGAGUU
rnacentral:lncRNA from 1 species